rnacentral:lncRNA from 1 species
UUGGCAUGUUGGUUUGUGAUAAUUUGCUUUUUCUUUUUAGUCUCUCGUCUGUUCCGUAAAGGUUUCUACAAACGAGCGUGUGUUCUUAUUGCGGUGAUUCUACAAGCAAAUCAUUCUUUAAUCUAUGGUCCAAAGAUUAUUAUUGACUAUAAUAUAAUUCUCAGGUGAACUUGUAUAUAAGGUAACUCAUGACACGGUCAAGUCUCAGACAUUAACGAACAGAGGAAUCAAAUAAUAGCCAUGCCACGAUGCUAAAUUUUAAAGGGUGAACUAUAUAACACCUUUCAAGAAGUAUCAGAUUUAAAACAAACCAAAAUGUCUACAAGAGGCGAUAUGUAGCUACUUUAAAUUUGGAGGAAGCCAUGAGAAGACAUCAGAUCAAGACUGCCUCCAAUCGUGAUGAGAAGCUUACAUAAUAUAGGCACCAUGCAAAGGGUUGCUCUGCUGUUUGCUUAUUAAAACCAAGCAAGCACCCGUGUCUGACUUAAUGCCAAUCCAAACAAUUAAAUAUUCCCAACCAAACAAAAAACUCAACAAGAUUGUAAUAUAAUUAUACCCAACCAACCAAAACUCAACAAGAUUGUAUUAUAAUUGUAUCCAAGAGUAUUGAAUCAUGAAAACAUUGUGAUAUUAGUUUUCAUGGGUCUUCCUCUGGCAAUAUUUGAUCUAGGCUCCAAGCGGCAGUCAGGUCGCCAUUAAAGUGACGCCUGCUGUUGACUCGUUUAAAAAUGGAGCCCUCUUUCUUUCACACCACACGGAUAAAACAUUAGACAAACUAACUGAUCUGAGAAAGCAAAACCAAACAAGAAAACAUGACUGAAGUGGGAGAUAAAAGAGAGAGAAUGGUCUUUAUAUAUACGAGAGUGGGCAGCUGCAAAAACCCUAGCUCAUAAAAUAUGGACUUCGAAUUCUUUAGUGGGCCCAAUAAAGGCCCAUAUAUUGUUUGGUUACUAGUGGUUUAACCAGAUGGUUAUAGUUUCAAAUACUACAAAAUAGUUUAUAGUACUAGCACAGUCGUUAAAAGAUAGUAGGUUUGUACUAUACUUGUUACUCCAUCUGUUACUAAAGAUGCAUGUUUGUGUGUUUUUACUUUUUACACAUAUUAAAAUAUAUAUAAUAAAUUCUGAUCAUAUAAUUAUUUUUAUAUUUUCCAAUUUUACAUAAUUCUCAAUCAAUAGUAUUUUAAAAAAUAUAAUUAAUCUUUUGAAGUUUACAAUUUAAUAACUAAUAAAAAUUGCAAUAAAAACUUAAGUCAAUGCAAUGAUACAAAAAGAACAAUGCAAUCAAAAUACGAUAUAAAUUAACAUAUAAUUAACAAUAACACUAUGUAUAAUGCUUAUAUCUACCUUUGGAUAUUAUGGUGUAUAACCUACCGUUGUUAUUGUUUAGCAUUGUAAGAAAACUCUUUGACUUGAUUAAGAGUUUAAGACUCAAUAAAUAUUUUAGAUAAAUUAUACACCAAGAUCGCUAAAUGGAGAAAUGAUCCAAUCAAACCAAUACAAGAAUAUCAUCUUGUUGCUCUAAAUAUAAAUAUAUUUUUUACAAGUAGGAGAAUAUGAAUUUAUAAAGCUUUUAAAAUAACUAGAUUUUUUAACCGCGCUACGCGCGGAUAAGAUAUUAUAUGUAUUUCUCAAUUCUAAAAAAAUAUAAUGUAUAAUACUGUAUUACAUUAUUUAAAGAAUAUAAAAUAAGACUACAUAACAUAAAUAUAUUUUUAAAUUUUCUUUGUGGAAAUCAUUAUGUUGUUUGAUUGUUGUACUUGAUUCACAUAUUUGCAUAGUUAUUUGUGAUAGAUGAAUAACUAUAUUUUUAUUAUCAGUAAAUAAUAUAUAUUUAUUAUAUAAUAUAAGAAAAAUAAAAUUAUAUUCUUUUAAAACAAACUUGUCUGAUGUAGGGACCGGUUAUAGACAUAUCAUAUUCAAAUGAGACAUUUUACAGUUAUCAAUCUUCUUAACAGUCAAGAAACAAAUCUGAAUAUCAAAACAAUAUCUCAUACGAUCUCUUUGUGGAAUAACUGCUCUGAAGAAAUUGAAUUUAGGCAUCAAAAAGGACUGAAAAUGGAUGUGCAUAUGUGUUAUCUAAGUCAGUUUUACAAAGUACUAUUCAUAAUUCAUAUAUCAUUUAUGUCCAUCCUAUUUUUUGUCCAUAUUUUCUUAAACAUCUUGAAAUAACUGAUGCUAAUUAAUAAUAAACUUUUGGCUGGCAAAAAAAGAGUCAAAAUUGUCUAAUUAUUGCUUAAUUUGUCUAACUGAUAUAUAUGUAUUUCUCAAUUCUAAAAAAAAUAAUGUAUAAUAUUGUAUUACAUUAUUUAAAGAAUAUAAAAUAAGACUACAUAACAUAAAUAUAUUUUUUAAAUUUUCUUUGUGGAAAUCAUUAUGUUGUUUGAUUGUAGUACUUGAUUCACAUAUUUGCAUAGAUAUUUGUGAUAGAUGAAUAAUUAUAUUUUUAUUAUCAGUAAAUAAUAUAUAUUUAUUAUAUAAUAUAAGAAAAAUAAAAUUAUUUACUUUUUAAACAAAGUUGUCUCAUGUUGGAGAUUCGGUUAUAGACAUAUAAUAUUCGAAGGAGACAUUUUUACAGUUAUCAAUCUUCUUAACAUUCAAGAAACAAAUCUGAAUAUCAAAACAAUAUCUCAUACGAUCUCUUUGUGGAAUAACUGCUCUGAAGAAAUUGAAUUUAGGCAUCAAAAAGGAUUGGAAAUGAUGUGCAGAUGUGUUAUCUAAGUCAGCUUUACAAAGUACUACUAUUCAUAGUUCAUAUAUCAUUUAAGUCCAUCAUUUCUUAAACAUCUUGAAAUAACUGAUGCUAAUUAAUAAUACACUUUUGGCUGGCAAAAAAAAUUAAAUUUGUCUAAUUAUCGUUUAAAAUUUUUAUUAAUAUUGUCUAAGAAGCUUUCAAUUGAUAUCAUAGUUUAAUUUUUAUUAGUUUUUUUUGUUAAUUUUAGCAUUUUUUGUAUUUAAGAUUUUUUUCCAUAUUAAGCUUAUAUUUCUUUCACAUAAUAUAUAUAUAUAUGUCAUAAAAAUUACCAUCAAAUCAGUUUUACUUUUUUAUUAUUUUAUUUUUAAUGAAAAUACACUUUUAAAUAAUUUAAUUUAAAAUAAAAUUAUAUAUUAAUUUGUUGUAUUCUAACAAUUUGAUUGAUUUAAUUAAUUUGCUUUGGUGGAUAACUUAAAAAGUUUUCAUAUGAAUCGGGAAAAGCAAGCUUAUGUUGUUAUAUUAUAUUUAUUUGUGUAUAUAGAAUCUUGUGUAUAUAGAAUCGGGGAAAGCAAGCUUAUGUAAACUUACUUUUACAAAAGUUUUAACUUUGUCACGAAAACAAAAAUCUAUGCUUUUUCAUAUUUGUCAAUGUUCUCACACUUUCAAAGAAUAUAUUAGCUUAGUCACUUUCUUAUUUUUUUUACAAAACAAAAUAUCGAAGUCUUGAAAGUUGAAGCCAUAUUAUUGUAAAUGUACAUAAGAGUUUGUGAUUACAUAUUUAGUGAUUCUUGUAUAUGUGUUCAAGAAAGUUUCAAUGGCUUAGCUGUAUAUGCUCUAUAUUUAUGUCAUACUAACUCGGGUUCGAUCCUGUCCUUUGCAUUUUUUUUCAUUUUUUACGAAAAAAUAAAUGAGAUGACGUGGCAACUUCGGGCUCUCUGAUUGGAUGAUUAUAUAUGCUGAUGUGGACACUCUAAGAGGGGUUUAUAUCUCCCUUUUAGUAUAGUAUAGAUGCUGAAGAUUGAUAACCAUAAAAAUGAAAGAUAACACAAUUACCUUAGACAAUGUUAAUGGUGAAAUAGAGAAGAUAUGAUAUCAAAUCAGUAAACAAAAUUCAUGUAAUCCUAACCAAACAAAAGGACAUUAUAAAUCACUAUACAAUGAAUCAAAAUUUAUGAUAAAAGUGUCAAUCAAAAGUUACUAAAAAACUCGAUUUCUUACUAGUUUAUCUUUUCAUACAAGAAGGAAUAAAGAGUUAUAGACUUAUAGAGCUUUUAAAUAUAGAUAAGCUAUGAUAGUCAUAAGAAUGAACAAGUAUGCAAUUACCUUAGACAAAGUUGAAAAGAUGGUGAAAUGGAAAAUAUAUUUUGUCAAACCAGUAAAAAAAUUCCUUAUAAUCUUAACAAAAAACAAUAUAUAUUAACAUAUAAAGAAUCAAAGAUUGUGAGAGAUAAUCAAUCAACAAAUAUGAAAAACUUGUCUUCUUACUAAUCUACUUUGAUAUAUUGAAAAACGAAUAUGAAAUCUCCGAAUUGUCAACUAAAAAAAAGCAGAAGAUGUCAUUGUUUUGUCACAACUAAAAGCUUACACAUUAAAAACUAUUUAUAGUAGACAAUAUUAUUAUCUUUAUUGCUAUAAAAGACAUAAUAUGUGCAGUUUUUCUAAAUACAAACAAAUAUUUUUUUGUUGUCUGAUUCUUAUUACCGCCCAUCAGAUUAGAAACAAUGAUAUAAUAUAAAACUCGUUAUAUAGCUAACACGUGACAUAAGAUUGGAUAACACAUGCUAGGUAUUUUAAGAAAAAAUUGGGUUUCAUCGCAUUCAUUCAUCAUACGUCUUUGAUAUACUUUUCCACCACCAAUGAAUAUAUUUGAUCUUCUUUGUUUUCACAAGACACAACUUGACAUGUCGUACUUAUGUUUAUGCUAGAUCAUUCUUAUGAUUAUCAUAAUAUUUAUCUCUCUUUACAAAAAUCUCUCUAAUUUCAUGUCUUUUUUUCUCGUUUCAGUCGCCUUUGGAGCAACAUGAUAUUGUUCGGCAUGUACUUUCUUGUUAGCAUCUUGCUUUGCCGUAUCAUCGACGAAGUCACUUCAAUGCACACACACUUACGGCCAUUAGUCCCAUACCUUCUAUAGCUAUGAUUGCUCAUGUAAUCUUUUUAUAAUAACGCUUUAAUAUUUGAAUUUUAUUUUUUCAUGUUUUUAUAAAUUCAAUAUCAUUUUAGGCUAUAGUCGAUGUCCUAUUCUUGUAGUUACUUCUAUCAAACCACAUCAUUGUUACAACUGGUAAGCAUCUAUUAUACUAGUUGUCAUUUGUUGUGGACAUAUCAUAAGUUUUGUGUCAUGUUGGUUAUAUUUUUGACAGUUCUUUCUUCGGUUGGCACUGCCCUCCUCAUGUUCAUGGGAUUCAUAGCUUGCGUCCGUUGGGUUGUCUGUUUGGUUCUCAGAAGGAACUGAAUUCGUGGGUUUAUGAUUUCUGAUUUCUGUAUAUUAUUGUCAUUUCCCAACAUAGUAUAAGUAAAUAUAUUUUUUGGAAGACAAUAGAUGGAUCGGUUUUAAAUUGUGGUCGUGUAUAAAGAAGCUGUAGUUUGCGUUAGUAUUACAUUAAUCAGAUAUGUAGUUUGGUUUAGUAUUACAUUAAUCAGAUAUGUAACAACAUGCUGAGCCAGUUCAAUCUCUUUGAUAGGAAAAAAAAUAUAUAACUUAGUAGUCAAAUAUUCCAUCCGUUCCAUAAAAAUGUUAUUUUAACAUUUUUCAUACAGAUUAAGAAAAUGAUUGAAAUGCAUUAAAAUUCUUAUUAAUUAAACUUAUUCAACCAAUAGUAUUUAAGAUAAACGAAAUUAUUUAUAAAAUCAAUGCAUUUGUAAUUAAUUUUAAACUGAAAGUUGCAUUGGAAUCUAAAAUAAUUUUUUUUAACAAGAAAAAAAAUGUUAAAGUGACAAUUAAUACAAAAGAGAAAGAGUAGUAUACUUAAUUAGAUAACAGAGAUUAAUAGAUAGGAGAGAUUAUGAAUGAAGUUGCCACAUCACUGCCGAGUCAUGUCGUGUAGAGAGAGUUUUUUUCUUUUUUUGUUUUUUUAAACACAGAGAGAGCUUUUAUAUGAAUGAAAAAAAUGAAGGCUUUGUUUAGAUCAUCAUCGUCCUCUUCUCUUAGCUUCACCAUCAUGCAUAGAUUCCUUCUAAAGCUAUCUUCUUCCACCAAUCCAUUGAGAAACUCUAAGAAUCAACUGCCUUUGAUUCUCCCUCGUUUCCUUUCAUCAACCACCGCCUCUGAGUCUCCUCCUCCUCCAAGGACCUCGCACCCUUCUAAUCGAUUCAUUUCUCGAUCUGGGCAUCCUUAUUCGGCCGAUUCGUUUCGAAAGUCGCGAGCUUUCAGCUCAAAGUCGAGAGCUUUAGGUGUAAGAUGUAUCAGCAGUGAAGCGGGGAGAGAGAGUAUAGAGUACGAUGUUCUGAUCAUCGGAGCUGGACCCGCCGGUCUAUCUGCUGCUAUACGGUUGAAACAGCUCUGUCAGGAGAAGAACGCUGAUCUGUCUGUAUGCGUCGUUGAGAAAGGAGCUGAAGUUGGUUAGUUUCCUCCUUCUCUCUCUCUUUAUGUAUCUCUUAGAUUCUUGAAUUUGGCUUGUGAUGAUGCUUAUAGGAGGACACGUCAUAUCUGGAAAUGUUUUUGAGCCUUUAGCGUUAGAUGAACUUCUCCCACAUUGGAGACAAGAACAGGUUUGUUGCUUUAGGCAUUAAAAAAAAACAAAACUUUAUUUGGAAAAUAACAUGAAAGAGAAUGUUUUUUGUUGUUUCUUGGUCUGUUCUGUUUCUAAGGCUCCCAUUGAGGUCGCUGCUUCUUCUGAUAAGUUCUGGUUUCUGACGAAGAACCGUGCGAUCUCACUUCCUUCUCCUUUUGAUAACAAGGGCAACUACGUUAUUAGGUAAGGUGUUAGACUGAACAUCGUUAUAACUGGUAAGGUCCAUGGUUGAAGUUUCAUUGUCGUGCUUGUAUGUACAGUUUGAGCCAACUGGUGCGUUGGUUAGGAGGCAAAGCUGAGGAGCUUGGAAUAGAGAUAUACCCUGGCUUUUCAGCUAGUGAGGUAAUAAUCUCUCGUGGCUCUCUCUAUUCUUCAAACCUUUUGAUGUUCUUCGUAGUGAACGGUUUUUUUUUACUCAGGUGUUGUACGAUGCAAGUGAUAAGGUUGUUGGGAUUGCAACCAAGGAUAUGGGAAUAUCCAAAGAUGGUUCUAAGAAGGAGACUUUUCAGCCAGGCGUAGACAUAAAAGGUCUCUCUCUCUCUCUCAUCACUAAUAGGAAGUGUCUUGUGCUAAUAAGAUAUGUGAUUUUUUCUAUACACAGGGAGAGUUACUCUAUUUGCUGAGGGAUGCAGAGGAUCAUUGUCCGAGGUCAGAAGAAGCGUUUUGGUUACAAUCUACACUCUAAUUCGGCGUGCAUGAUGCUAACUAAGUUUCUUACUUCAACUUUGUGCAGAAAAUAAUCAAAAAGUAUAAAUUAAGAGAGGAGGUUAAUGCACAACAUCAGACAUACGCUUUGGGAAUUAAAGAGGUUACCACUUUUAUCCUUUGUUCUAGUUUUAACAAUUGGUCAUAGGACCCCUUUAAAUUUGCUGAUACUUUGAGCUCAACAGGUUUGGGAGAUAGAUGAAAGCAAACAUAACCCCGGAGAAGUUGUUCACACUUUGGGCUGGCCCUUGGAUCCUAAGACAUACGGAGGUUCUUUCUUGUACCACAUGAACAAUAGACAGGUAACACAUUGAGAAAAUAUUGUCUGCUUUCCUUCUACGGGUGUCUUAAUCAGUCGAACCAAACAGGUUGCGCUUGGCUUGGUUGUUGCCUUGAAUUACAAAAACCCUUUCUUGAAUCCAUAUGAGGAGUUUCAGGUAUGUCAAUUUCUCACAACAAUAAAACGAAUUAAGAAGUUUGAUGAAGGAUUAAUCAUUUUUUAUUCUCCCAAUAGAAACUCAAACACCAUCCAGCCAUAAAACGCAUCUUGGAAGGUGGUACUGUGCUUCAGUAUGGAGCUCGCACUUUAAAUGAAGGUGGUUUUCAGGUGAGUUUAAAAUCUUUUCCCUUAAGAUAUAACCUGCACGUUGAUAUAAUUUUGUUCUGGCAUGUUAUGACAUAUUGAUGCUAGUAAAAUUUCAGUCCAUUCCCUAUCCAGUUUUUCCUGGAGGAGCAAUCAUUGGAUGUUCAGCUGGUUUUCUCAAUGUACCCAAGAUUAAAGGGACACAUACCGCAAUGAAAUCAGGUUACACUACAUCUUUGAAAAGAACUACUGUUUUUUUUAUAUUGUCCCAUAUUAAAAUUUUCAUUUUAAAUUUCAUCAAAUAUUAUACAGGAAUGUUAGCAGCAGAGGCUGCAUUUGGUGCACUUCAUGAAGGUUCAAACAUGAGCACAUACUGGGACAACCUGAGAAGUUCAUGGGUGUGGAAGGAGCUCUACUCAGCUCGAAACUACCGACCUGUUCGUAACAUCAUUGCUCUUAUGGUUUUCUAUCUAAUUGAAAUUUCCUGGUAGAUAAGAUGUUAAUAUCUCAAAUAAUUUCAGGCAUUUGAGUAUGGGCUAAUCCCUGGCUUGGCCGUAAGUGCUAUGGAACAGUAAGAUUCUCUUUUUUUUUUUUUCCCGGUGUUCUAUAAGAUCAUUUCCUCUUUUGUUAUGAGUGAACUGUUUAUGUUUCAUUACUGCAGCUAUGUACUGAGAGGAAAGGUCCCUUUCACGUUGAAGCACGGGAAAGCAGACCACGAAGCAACUGAUGUAAGUGUACACAAGCACUUAAUGACUUGUUUAGUCAGACAAAAAAAACACAGAACUGAAGUGGGGAUAUUAUCUUUAUUGCAGCUUGCUCGGAAAUGGAAGCCAAUUGAGUAUCCAAAGCCAGAUGGUGUUUUGUCCUUUGACGUGCCAACGUCUUUAUACAGGUUUGUGCAAGAUCUUUAUAAUGUGAAAUGUAUUCCUCCUAUGGUAUUGAGUAGUGGUUGCUUCUUGAAAUGAUGAUGUAAAACAGGAGUAACACCAAUCAUGAUCAUGACCAGCCAUCUCAUUUGCGAUUGAGGGAUCCAAAGAUUCCAGAAAAGGUGAACUUACCAGAGUAUGCUGCACCAGAGUCACGUUACUGCCCGGCCCGUGUAUACGAGUAAUAACUUCUCUUUCUCCCUCUUCAUAUACAAUUUAACAUCCCUGAACAAAGAUACUAAUAGCCGUUUGCGUAUUGAUUAAAAUAAUUAAUAAAGGUAUGUUGAAGAUGAAGAGGGUAAGCCGAAACUGCAGAUCAACGCUCAAAACUGUUUGCACUGCAAGGUAUGGCAUCACUUUAUCUUCAUUGUGUGUUUAAGUAUGUUUAUUUAAUGUCACUCAAUUGAAUUCGGAGAAAAGCUUAAGACCGUUGUUUUGGCGUUUCUAUCUAACAGGCGUGUGACAUUAAAGAUCCGAAGCAAAACAUAGAGUGGACAGUGCCUGAAGGUGGUGGAGGCCCUGCUUAUUCCAUCAUGUAGUAAUCCUCAUCAACACUCACUUUACCACGUCCCAUAAAUAAAUAAGACUCGAGCAAAACCAUAUAAUGUUUGUAGCUUUUUAAAGAUAGAAAAAUGUAUGUAAAAGCAUCAUUAGUGCUUGGCUUGUUGUAAACUUUCAUUUGACAUUGAUGAGAACUCAUCAGAAUAAGUGAAGAAAAAAGAAAUCACAUUCAUGCAUCAACUCUCCACUCAACCAAAUGUCAUUACUUAAUUUGUUUAUCAACCUCAACAUAUGCACGCCUCUGUUACCUCAUGUUGUCCUAAGGCUUGUUAAGCAAUGUGUUGCUUGCACCCACUUACCAUGGUAAAAAAAUUAAGUGACAAAAAAGGUUAGUAAAUAAAAUUAAACCCCAUGUGGGUUAAGCUCAUGUUAACUUGGUGUAAGACUUAACAGACCUUUUUCGAUUUAAUUUUCUUUUUUUUUUCUCGGCACACCGGAGCAGAGCACUCGCUUGCUCUUCAGGGCGAGUCUCUUAGUUUAAUCAGUGAGAUCAUGCAUAGGCUCGUUCCUCGAUCUGGGUAUCCUAAUUCCACCGAGUUGUUGCGAAAGUCGCGAGCUUUAACUGCAAAUUCGAAGACUUUAGCUGUAAACAGGAGUAGAUAUGUCAGCAACGAAGCAGCAAGAGAGCCGACAGAGUACGAUGUUGUCGAGAAAGAAGCUGAAGUAGGUCUGUUUCUCAAAAGUACUAAUCUUUCAGUUACUUGCUCUCUGUUUCUAUCUUCGCAAUUUAACUCUCAAAUUUCGCAUUUGUAGGAUCACACAUCAUACCCGUGGCACUUGAUAAGAUUCUCCCACAUUGGAGACGAGAACAGGUUUGUGUUCUGUCUCAUUGUCGUUUCUAAAGCGUAAGUCUUUACUCUUCACUGUCCUCAAGCCCUGUUUGUUGAAUUUGCUUCCUUUUUGUUUGUUUAGAGCUGCGUUGGAGAUAGAGGAGAUAACGAUGUCUACUUGUGCAACAGUCACAUCAAUGCUUAUUUCGAGAAGGGUGAUUCAGUCUCUGCGCGUAAACUGUUCGACGAAAUGCCUCAGAGGAACUCUGUCACAUGGGCAUGCGUUGUUUCAGGGUAUAACCGUAACGGACAACAUAAAGAAGCCUUAUUGCUCUUAAGAAACAUGAUUAGAGAAGGAGUUUUCUCGAAUCCCUACGCUUUCGCUAGCGCGCUUAAAGCUUGUCAGGAGUUAGAAGAUUCUGUGGGGAAGCUUUUCGGGAGACAGCUUCACGGCCUAAUGUUCAAACUCUCCUACGCAUUCAAUGCAGUAGUUUCGAAUGUCCUCAUAUCAAUGUACUGGAAAUGCAUAGGGUCUCUUGGUUCUGCUCUUCGUGCUUUCGAUGACAUAAGAGUUAAAAACUCUGUUUCGUGGAACUCGGUCAUAUCUGUGUAUUCAGGGGCUGGGGAUUUGAGAUCUGCGUUUAAGAUGUUCUCCACCAUGCAGUGCGAUGAUUCUAGACCAACGGAGUAUACUUUCGGUACUCUUGUAACUGCUGCUUGUUCUCUCACUGAUGUUAGUUUGCUCAAACAGAUCAUGUGCGCUGUCCAAAAAAUUGGUUUCCUUUCUGAUCUAUUCGUUGGAAGUGGAUUGGUGAGUGCGUUUGCAAAGUCUGGUGAACUGAGUUACGCUAAGGAAGUUUUUAAUCAGAUGGAAACGAGAAACGCGGUGACGUUGAACGGUCUAAUGGUUGGUCUUGUGCGGCAGAAACGUGGAGAGGAAGCAAGUAAGCUCUUUAUGGAUAUGAAAAACAUGAUUGAUGUGAAUCCUGAGUCAUAUGUGAAUCUCCUAAGCUCGUUUCCUGAGUAUUAUCUAGCUGAGGAAGUAGGUCUGAGAAAAGGCAGAGAGGUUCAUGGACAUGUGAUAACAACCGGCUUAGUUGAUUCCAUGGUCGGGAUAGGAAACGGACUUGUUAAUAUGUACGCUAAGUGCGGGUCAAUAGAUGAUGCCAGACGUGUGUUCCGUUUCAUGAUGGAGAAAGAUUCUGUCUCCUGGAACUCCAUGAUCACUGGUCUUGACCAAAACGGCUGUUUUCAAGAAGCUUUGGAGCGCUACCAAAGCAUGAGACGACAUGGAAUCUCGCCUGGAAGUUUCGCACUGAUUAGUUCACUGAGCUCAUGCGCUAGCUUGAAGUGGGGUAGAGCAGGACAACAGAUUCAUGGAGAAAGCCUCAGAUUGGGGCUUGAUUUCAAUGUUUCGGUUUCAAAUGCGCUUAUCACACUCUACGCAGAGACAGGCUAUGUCAAAGAAUGUCGUAGAAUAUUCUCCUUCAUGCCAGAGCGUGAUCAGGUCUCUUGGAAUGCCAUGAUAGGCGCUUUAGCUAGCUCAGAAGGGUCAGUACCCGAAGCAGUGUCAUGUUUCAUGAACGCGCUGCGAGCUGGACAGAAACUCAACAGAAUAACCUUUUCAAGCGUUCUCUCAGCUGUCUCAUCCCUCUCAUUCGGUGAGCUCGGCAAGCAGAUACACGCGCUAGCUUUAAAGUACAGUAUCACAGAUGAAGCAACCAUUGAGAACGCGCUGAUAGCUUGCUAUGGAAAGUGCGAGGAGAUGGAGGAGUGCGAGAAGCUAUUUUCUAGAAUGUCAGAGAGAAGAGAUGAUGUGACUUGGAACUCGAUGAUCUCUGGUUAUAUACAUAAUGAUCUCCUCCCCAAGGCCUUGGACUUGGUUUGUUUUAUGCUGCAGAGAGGUCAGAGAUUGGAUAACUUCAUGUACGCGACUGUUCUCAGCGCGUUUGCUUCGGUUGCGACGCUGGAGCGUGGGAUGGAAGUGCACGCCUGCUCGGUGAGAGCUUGUUUGGAAUCUGACGUGGUGGUUGGGAGUGCGCUCGUCGACAUGUACUCAAAAUGUGGUAGACUAGAUUACGCUUUGAGGUUCUUUAACGCGAUGCCUGUGAAGAAUUCAUAUUCUUGGAACUCGAUGAUCUCUGGCUACGCACGACAUGGGGAAGGAGAAGAAGCUUUGAAGCUUUUUGAGGAUAUGAAGCUCGAUGGACAAACACCGCCUGAUCAUGUUACCUUCGUGGGAGUGUUGUCGGCUUGUAGCCAUGCCGGUUUGGUUAAAGAAGGGUUUAAACAUUUCGAAUCUAUGAGUGAUUGUUAUGGCUUAGCUCCUAGGAUUGAGCACUUCUCGUGUAUGGCUGACUUGCUAGGCCGUGCGGGUGAGCUAGAUAAGUUGGAAGAGUUCAUCGAUAAGAUGCCGAUGAAGCCUAAUGUUCUCAUAUGGAGAACUGUGCUGGGCGCUUGUUGCAGAGCCAAUGGUCGUAAAGCAGAGCUAGGGAGGAAAGCAGCAGAAAUGCUGUUUCAGUUAGAGCCAGAGAACGCUGUAAACUAUGUGCUGCUUGGUAACAUGUAUGCUGCUGGAGGAAGAUGGGAAGAUUUAGUAGAAGCGAGGAAGAAGAUGAAAGAUGCGGAAGUGAAGAAGGAAGCUGGUUACAGUUGGGUGACCAUGAAAGAUGGAGUUCAUAUGUUUGCAGCUGGGGAUAAGUCACAUCCAGACGCUGAUAUGAUCUACGAGAAGCUCAAGGAGCUUAAUAGGAAGAUGAGGGAUGCAGGUUACGUGCCGCAGACGGGAUUCGCUUUGUAUGAUCUAGAGCAAGAGAACAAGGAAGAGAUUCUGAGUUAUCAUAGCGAGAAGCUCGCUGUAGCUUUUGUUCUCAUGACACAGAGGAACUCUACGCUGCCUAUCAGAAUAAUGAAGAAUCUGAGAGUGUGUGGUGAUUGUCACUCUGCUUUCAAGUAUAUAUCGAAGAUCGAAGGGAGACAGAUUGUUCUAAGAGAUUCAAACAGGUUUCAUCAUUUUCAAGACGGUGAAUGUUCAUGCAAAGAUUUCUGGUGAUUGCGUGAGUCUCAAAGGUAAGAAGACCAUCAACCUCAAAUCAAAGAUUCUUUCCAAUGUUUUGAUCAUGUGUGUUCUGUUAUCUUCAGGUGAUUUUACUUGGAUUCAGCGCUUUUUCACUAAACCAUUGUUCUUUCUGCUUCUGGAAAGCGAAGUUGAGAUGCAUCAAAUAAGUGAGUUACAUAAAAUAUGUGCGUUUCGGUUCUGUUAAGAGUUGAAUAUUCAUAAUAGCCUUAAAAUUUUGUUAGGCAAGAUGUGGGAAGGAGCUCAUAUGAUGAUCCAUGAUCAACCAUCUCAUUUGCGCUUGUGGGAUCCCAACAUUCCAGGAAAGGUAAUAUUCCGCGUACCACAGUCACUUUACUCACCAACACGUGCAUUACGAGUAGCAGCUUCGCUUCAUCUAUUUUCACAUGCAUUUUUCUGUAGAUAACUUUCCUUAAACAUGAUAGUAUGAUUACUCACACUCCUUUGUGAAUCGAUUAAAUAAGGUAUGUCGAAGAUGAGGAAAGUAAGCUAUUUUGAAGGCAUGUGACUAUCCACAGCAGAGUAUAAGAGUGGUGGAAGCUUUGCGUCUUCCUUCAUGUAGUCCCCAAGAUUCACUUCUGGUAGUCAACAAAACCAUAUUUUUCACCUUUUUUAAUCAUAAAACUGUAUAAUGUAAGCAAUAGUGUGUUCGUUUGUUAUAAAGGUGUUAUAUGUUAAUUUCAUUUGGCGUUAAAGGGUAGACAGGAAGUAGUAGUACACUCUCAAGUGAUAUUAACAAAACAGAAGGAGAUCAUGCGGAAGAUUUGUUUUAUUGAAACAAAAGAAACUAAUUCGGAAAAAAAGUAUAUAAAAGAUCCAAAAUCACAUUCAUUUUACACAGCCUUUUCUUCCAAAUAUCACAAACGAAUGAAGAAAAAAACAAAGACGAGCUAGGAGCGUUUGGUUGCGGUAGCAGGACCUAAUCUUGGCUUGGACACUUGAGCAUCUUACAAAAAAAACUCUCUCUUGCGCGGGUAUGUUGUAGCAUGCUCAACGGGGGCUUUUGGCUCAAAUCACCACCUACACAGUUUCACAACAAGUAUGAGUUAGCGACACGGCUUCUCUUAAGCUUCUUUCCUCCACUUUUCUCCAACUCAUAAAGCAGACAAAUCACAAGUGAAUCCGUUUUUUUACGAGCUUAGGAAUGUUAUUGUAUUAUAUGUACCGUCAAACUGUUUAUCUGCGCUUUUUUUCGGACAGCAUUUUAAAGUCGAAUUGUAGUAUUGCGAUCAGAUCAUUUUCAUGUGGCUCAACAGAGAAGUUGCAACAACGCAAGAUGAACAACUUUCUAUAAAAUUAUUUAUCUUGUCAUUAGAGGAGAGUUUUGUAAGCUGAAUCAACGGUUGUUAUAUUCUAUACAAGCAAUUAAAAAUCCUAAUCACAAAGUAUGUACAUAUGGCAUUUACGAAGCCAGAAUUUACAAACUGAAAUGCUACUAAGCAACCGUUAAUACGCUGUCAGCUCCGAGACAACAAAAGGGAAUUAAAGAAAAAGCAAGAUCUACAUUUCUUAAGUACACUACUAGAUUAGAUGUUGUGGGUAUACUACUAACAAAAUAAAUGCAGGAAGAAUACCAACAAAUAGAGGACGUGUAUAUUCAACAAAGCAGCCCUAUGCUAUUGUUCACAAAAUUUCAUAUUCCCUAAAUAAAUAAAAAUGCAGACUAAAACGCCACUUUUUAGUUUAAAAAACUCAUCAGAAAUGCAAAUAGCUUACAAGAAAAACGACAGAGAGCAAGCACAGGUAUCAUCAUAUGCCAGCAAGCAAGGAUCAGACUAGUAUUUUGGUAAAGCAUAAUGCACAUUCAACUCAAUAAUCAAGCAACGAAUAGAUGAUGGAGAUAAUUACCUUACAGAUUAUGAUAGCGAGUGGAGCUUAGUUUCAAGGCCGCUGUCCAGCCGGAGAACCUGAAGGCGGUUGCUGCUGAUUCUGCUUAAUCUGUUGGAGAAGGCUUGCUGCGAACUGCAGUGUUUUCUGGUACCUUUCGUCCUUCUCCCCAUCUGUUGUACCUUGACCAGCCUGUGGUGCAUGGCUUUGCUGCUCUAAGUUUGACAUGUCAGCUGGUGGUGGUUGCAUGGCAGCUUGAUAUUGGGAAUGAUUUAAGUUAUGCGCCUGAUUCGUUGCUACACCAUGAUAGUUACCUUGCUGAUAACUUGGAACCGGACCAUAGUUUUGGCUUGGUACUGAACCUUCUGGCUGGUACUGCUGCGUCAUAGGCUGAGAAACAGGAUGAUUUGAGGAACCCUGAUUGUACAUGGCGUAGUUAUUAUGAGUCAUCUGGGGCAUGUUAACAGAUUGGCCUUGGUACUGCAUGUUGCUAUGGACCAUUCCACUGGAGUAGUUGGGAUUGGAGUUGUUUGAAGCCGGAGCGUAACGCGGAGGCGGAGGAGGAGGUAGUUGUCCAGCUGGAUUGUACUGAUUUCCAUAAUUUUGCGGAUCUCUAUUCCAAGCUUGAGAAGACGGUGCUUCUCCAUUGUAGUGAGGCACAGUGGAAGCAACUGACAUAGUUUGGUGACUCUCAGGAGCAGCAGAUUGAGAAGAAGUUGCAGGGAGAAAAGACGCCAGAGUAGCUAAAAGCUCCGGGGUUAAACUAACCCCAGCUUGAGACGCAGCAUUGUUAGGUAACCUGAGAGGCUCGCUAACCGAUGGUCUCGACUGUUCUGGUGCAGCAGCACCCCUCGGAGGAUAAAAGCUGUGACCGGUAUUGGCAGGUGAAUCCCGGGACUGAUCCAUAUAAGACAGAGGAUUCGACUGAGACUCUUGUCUGUACGAUGCUGCAACAGGAGCGGCUGGUGGGGGCAGCUUGAGAACAACGCCGUACAGCCGCUCAGGACCGGUCACUUUGAGUACGUCAGUUAAGAAAUCAGAUGGAGGCACCAAGAACAAAGUAGUUCCGUCGUCUAAUUUGGCAACCCCCGCUCGAUCUUUUGAACCGAGGUAGCGGAGAAACUCAGUGUAAGACGCAAAAUCUUCUUCACUGUCUGGUAAGAAGUAAACAAUCUCAAAUCCAAUGGCUUCAGUGUAGUGCUUGGCGAGCAUGUCCAAGCCAGUUCUUGCUGAACAAUUCACCACCUCAGGGCUGUAAAAAACAAUUAAAAAUGCAUCAGCACCACCCAUACAUAUCUAAUAGAAAACAUAUACUUACAGCUUAGUCUCGAUCCCUUUUCCAAUAGGUACACAACGAGCACAACAGACGGGAGUCCCACCCUUUGCAAUCAUUCCUCUCCAAAUGUAAUCAGAAUCACCGUAGCCACGGAUAGGCGGCCUAGCAGCAACUGAGCCACGCCCAAACGACCUCUCAUCUACUACACCCAUUGGAGUAAAACCGUCCGCCGAUCCAUCUCUUCUGGUUCGUUUGUUUUCUCUGUCCAUCAGAGUAGGAUCAUAUCCUUCCCAAGAACCGGGGUUGGACCUCAUAGGGUGGUUCCUCAUGCCUUGUCCAGGAGACGGGAGGAUUCCAUGUCCUGCUGGUGAUGGAAGUAUCCCAGUUCCAUUAGGAGAUGGCCUCCUCCAGUUUGGCUCCAUGCCAAUAACGUCAUUGUAUUCUGAAACAUUACAAGAACGUCAUUACUACCUCUAAAGUGCUUCAGUGGAAUAGGGAGGAGAAAAUACAAUGAACAUACCUGGCCUUGAACGUUUCACACCAGAAUAAAAACUAUUAUCAUCUUGCUCAGGAGGUAUCUCAUCGUUCGAGUACAUGAUUGUGAUUCUAGGAUCUUUGAAUAACCUCCCCUGCAGCCCUUCCUUGGCUUGGCGAGCUUCGUCCACGCUCCUAAACUCCACAAGUGAGAAAUGCCUAGACGGGUAACUUUUCUUCCUCUCGAUCUCACCGAAGAGUAUCAUUGCGUUGUGUAGCAUUUGCUCAUCUAUCUGAACAGAAGGAGGGUAUCCAAUCCACAGAACUUUACUUGGUUGGUCAUCUCCUCUGGGAUCUUCAUGUGAGUGAGGAUACUAAUAACAAAACGUCAAAAAGCUAAUUAACAUCAUACACAUAUUAACAGCAACAAGAAACAAACUGUAUUUUUUUUGAACAUUUUAAAACGAACCUGAGGUUUAUGAUUCAUCACAUUGCCAUUUCUGUUAUCGUAAGAGCCAGCCCAUUGUUCCUAAAGAUAAAAAAUACAAAGUCAGAAUAUGAACUGUUGGUAGAGCGUUUUCAUAAGUAAAAAAGUGUUACAAGAAUGGUUUACUUUUCUUGGGGCUUGUGAGCGGAGAAAAUCAACGCGCAGAUAGCUACCACCCAUUCGCUGGCCAUUCAUGUUCCUUGCCUGUAAGGCAGCGUCAAUGUCGUAGUAAUCAAUGAAAGCUGUCUUGCGUUCUCUGAGGAACCUAAGAUCCUCGAUUUUUCCAAAUUUACUGAACUCUUCCUCCAGGUCAUCCUUUGAGACACUCGAGCUGAUUCCUCCCACCCAAAGACUCUUACAAGGUUUUGCCUGCAAGGACAACACGGAAGGUUUCAGUAAGAAGGCGAUACGAUGAUAUCACACCAAGCAUAGAAUUUUGAAGAUAUCAAAGCAUCAAGCAUCAAGCAUCAAGCAUCAAGGAACUUAAACACGCAUCAAACAAUAAUUCAAGAACACGUCACCAAUUCAUAUCAAUUGCUAUCCAAAACACACGCAAGGUAGGAUAACAAAUCCUCGUCAUCUAUCAAUCAGUGUUUCUCCUGACUAAACACACGUUCUGUCUGCAGGAGACAAAAACACUGUCGACUACGCAUACUUGUCUUUAUCAUGGCACACUUGGCUGAUGAGUCCCAAGAGACGUUAAAACUGUAGGGGAAGGAAUCUUUGUCUUGAUCACCGCAGAUUGAAUAUGUUAAACCCACAUAGACUUGGCUGAGUCACAAUUAUACAAAUCCCGUGGGCAUCGGUCAAAAGCUCAAAGCCGAGGAGACCUUAAACACUGUAUGGAAAAGGAAUCUUUGUCUUGAUAACCGCAGAGUGGCUGGGGCCGAAUAUACCAAACCCAGGAAGUCUCGUACAGAAAGCAACUCCCAAAGGAACUGAGCUGGGAAAGACGAGAUUGUACGAACGGUAAAGAUACACAGCGGUAAACAAGAUUCGACGUCACUUACACUGUUUGAAAGUACGUUUCUGACCGAAGCUCUCCAACGCUGAUACGAAAUUGUCUGCGGUUCAGUGAACAUUUAACAUCUGGAGUAGUAGGUAUUAUUAUCUCAGCGCCUUUUUAACAAAUUACUUCACCCUGUUUGUUUUCACUUGAAACUCCACUUUCUGAUUAUCUUUACUUGGCGAUGAUGAUCGAUAUGCUACCUUCCCAAAGCAUUUUACCUUGGGGAAAUUUCGGGUACGGUAAGCAAUUCAUUUGUACUCAAUCUUGUGAGAUUUAGCUAAACAAGCCCAUCUGCAGCGAACCUGCAACCAGACUACUUGUUGACGGCAGAAUCGACGACGACUAUUGAAUCAAACCUCUUUAACGAAUGAAAAACAUGUGCGGUUUAUCCAUUCUUUUGCAGCUCACUCGCUAAAGACUUAUAUUGCUUUCGAGCAGUCUGUGAUUUACUUGGCACGAGUUUGAUUAGAUCGUUGCAAAUUAUUCAGAGACCUGCGUUUCCCCUUUUACGUUUCGACGUCAAAUUGCAAAUCAGCCCAAGGAAAAAAAAUACAUAGAUCUAGAUUUUGGUUUGUGAUUUCGAUUUGUACGAGGACUCAAAUCAACAUAUCUAAACCUAUAGGAUGAAUCGCCACAGUUUUGUAAUCAUUGAUAAGAAACAAUCAAAGUUAAUAAACAAACCUAGAGUAGUUUGAAUUCGCGAAAACAGUGUAAUCAUCGAUACGAGACAAUCAAAGUCAACAAACAAACGAAUAUUAUUUGAUAAUCCUAACGAAUCAAGGAGAUUAGAACAAACCGGUCGCGCGUAUUGGAUCUUCAACAGUCCCCCGUUCAGAUUCGUCCCCUGUAGCGCCUCCUUCGCCGCCACCGCUUCCUCCACGUGUCGGUAGUAUAUAAACGCGAAUCCGCGGGACGAAUAGGCCGUGAUUCUGUCGAUGUCGCCGAACCUUCCGAACAACUCCGUCAGAUCUGACUCCGUCGUAUCCAUCGUGAUGCUGCCCACCCAGAGGUUGUUCGAUGUGAAGCCGGAAUCGUCGGAUUCGCGUCCUCUGAAGGGCUUCAUCGCUGCCGCCAUCGUACAGAGGUGUGGAUUGGUUGAAUCGGAGAUGCUAAGGCUCGGGAUUCGAAUAUCCAAGAGAUUGAAUUGAGCGAUGAAUCGAUAGUUCGUUGAGCUAGAGAACAAUCAGAGAGAGAUAGAUGGAUUCGUCUUCAAAUUGUACCUAAAGAGAAGACGAGAGAGAGAACCCUAGGUCGAGAUUGAAGAUAGAGAGAUAAAGAGCGAUCCAAUCCAUGCGGCGGCUCUUUAAAGGAUAAAUAAACAAAUUAAAAAAAUAAUAUAAUUAUUUUCUUUUUGGAUUCUGCGAAGUAGGUCGAAACGAUGCGUUUUAUAGUAAUCUUGGCAAAUUCGUAAAUUAAUCUUGGCAAAUUCGUAAAUUAAUCUUGUUCAAUCGUCUGUCACCAAGAUUACAGUCUGAAAAUAAGAACUUUUUAAUAGCAUCUUUGCCAGUAUAUAGACAUUUAAAAACUGAUGUUAGUCUCUGAGAUUGUCGCCUUGACUUGGAAGCUUUCACAUGAACAUUGGUUUAGAUGACGCAUCAGGUAGAGGCAGAUUCUUCAGCGCCAUUUCUUUAACAACUGUUAAGCAUUCGAUGAAGAUCCGGGCUAUGUGAUAGAGCUCAACCUCGUAUUGCUCAUAGAUGAAGAAGGCAGUGAAGGAGAAUGACAUCGCUGUAAAUUGUUCAAUUUUAUGGUCAGGAAGACAGUAAUGGAUAAGGAAGAUAUGUAGAGAAACCAAAAGCUUUGUGUACCUGUGAAGAGAAAUGUUGCCAAGGAACGGGAUACGAGCAGUUUGAUGAGAUAUAGUGAGCCCGCAAUCUGUUUUUUUGAAUCGAUUCAACGAGAGAAGUCAGUUUUUGUCAUGUUUGAUGAGCAUUAGAGAAGUGCGUAGGAUAUAAAAUUGUACCUUGAAGAACUUGAUCCAGUCUCCUCCUCUGCUUAAUGAAUUUAGACUAUGAACUCCGUGGUUCCAUGCAACUACGAUAUCCCUGCUAAGAUCUCUCACUGCAGACUCCGAGAUCUCAAAUCUCCACGGAGGUAUUUUCUUGACUUGAAGAAACCCAAAGCUGUCGAAAAAGUACAAUAAUUGAUUUCAUAAGAAUGGAUGCAUCAGAGUUGGGCGAUUCUAGUCUCACAAAACACGUUCACUGUUUUCUAGAGUGGUUAAGGGAAAGUCACUAUUUGGAACCAGAACUUACAUCUUUGACGGCACAAAAGAGAGUCCAAAGAGAGCAACAGCAAGUACAAACAGAAGUUGGGCUGCAGACGAAGUAAAUGUGCUUCCAGAAGAGAAGAACCAGUAAUAUAACAAGUUGAGGACAACAAAGGAAAAAAAUGUAUUCUUCUCAUUUCUCCACAGCAAGAUGUCUGCAACUGCAUAUACAUAAAAUUAAAAAAAUGGUCAAUUUAAAGAGAUUGAUAUGACCAAACAGGAUGUGCAUUGAGAUUAUCUAUGCAUUAUAUCAUAUGGUCUAGAAGCGAAUGUAGAUGGACUAAGCAGAUACAUCAGCAUGUUUAAAUAGAAGCAACGAAGCUAAGUUAAGAGUAGGAUAGAUUCUUUCCAGGUUAAGCCUUGUAAUAUGCAUCAUAUGCGUAGGUAAAUAAGAAACAGACUUAAAGCAAUGUAGCGGGACACCUACCCAAGAACAGAUCAGUCUAACAUUAUAAUUGUUACUGGGGAGAUGGUUCUAACCUUUUCCACAACCAAGAAGCUGAUCUGCUUUAGACUGAAUGGCCGUAUCAUCAGAUUUCUCAAGAUCGCGAGAGAACCACUGAACCGUUGAUGCAAUACCAUCCUACGAAUUCAACAAUAGCUAUUGUGACCAAGUGUGCUAUCAAGCAGCUGAAUAUGAUGAAGCGGAAUAUUAUCUAAACUGAACUCACUUCGAGUGUCACAACAGGUGAGUAACCAAGAUGCUUCUUAGCGGCAUUGCAGUUAAACGUUCUCGAUGAGGAAGCUAAGAGAGCAAACUGAUGAGCUGUGUCAUAAUAACCUCCAGUGCCCUCCUUUUCUUGUGUCCAUUUAAGAAGUGACAAGACAAACGAAACAAGCGGAACAGGAAGUUUAGUGGAUGGUCUGCAAUAAAAGACAAGAAAAGCAUCAAAUUAGGUAAACCAGAAACAUGGCUUUAAGGAUCUGAAGUUUUUCAAAAUGAUAAAAUACCCAAGGAAAUAAGAGAAUUAAAACAUAUAGGACAAUGUACAAUAUAGUAAAUACAACACAUGGAAACACCAUUCAAAUAUCUGCUAGAAAAAAUGACAAUAAAUACGGCCCUACUCGAAGCAGUCCCACCAGAUAAGGUAGUUCAUGAUAUUUAUCAACAGAAAGAUGAUAAGAAUGCAGAUGCUUUAAGGAGGAAAAGUUAAGGGUGGGUUCAGAAUUCUGACAGAUCUUUAUUCGCCAUGAAGCAGACACAGGACAAUCAGGAAACAGCAUAAAGAAGGAAUUCUAAACAGGUUUUCUUUUAUCAGCAACUAUUUAAAUGUUCAUUUACCUCGGGUAUCCCAAACCUUCAACGAUGUGGCUUACAAAGUCCCAGAACUUGACAGGCUUGAGGUUAGUGAUAAAAAAUUCCUGCAAAUAAUCAGCAAGAAAACUUCAUCAUAUAUAAAGGUUGUGCGCUUUCAGAAGUUGUUUGGCAACUACAUAUGCACCACGGUUACCUUUCCAGCUACAGAUUCCAUAUGUGAAUCUAGUGCAUCCACGGCACAAAUAUGUGCAUGAGCAACGUUGUCAGAGUAAGUGAAAUCAGACAAAUUUUCACCAUUCCCGAUUUUAAACUGAAAUAUUGAAAAAGAAAACAAUCAUUCCUCACAUAAAAGGAAAACCGAAGCUUAAGGAAUAUGCCAUCCCAACGGUAAAACCACAUGGCAUCAUAAUAUGAUAAAAUGGUAACAUGAUUCCCAUUAUAACAUGAUCCAACAAUGCAAACAUCAACAUAACAAACAGAUGAAAUACAUUCAAACCUUUGCAUAUCCGGAUUUGGCUAGAUUCACAAGGAAAGGAACAAACUCAGUAUCACCAGGUCCAAACACAAUGCUCGAGCGAAGUGCACAAGUUAACAAACCAUCACGGUUGUUAGCAAACUUAAUCAACGCUUCCGCUUGAGCUUUAAAGUCUGUCAACAUGGAUGGGAACUGCAAGAGAAUCAGAGCAAAAACAGAUAUCAUUCAUUCCUGACCAAACAACAAAGAAUAAAAAAAAAACAAUCAUCCUCAGGGACUACCUUCAAAGGACGUCUCAACGAUUCAUCACCAUCACGAAUAGCUUCUGAACCGUCAAACACAACGUCAGCAGUACUGUUGUAGAUAAGUUUUCUAACUCCAGACUCGCAACAAGCGGAUAUCACAUUCCUCGUACCUAUUGGAGCCAAAGAACUCGAUUAAACACUCAAAACUCAACGCUAUAAAAACGAGUAAAAGUCCUUUUACCUUGAACCAAAACCUUGUAGCAAUAAAAGUAAUCAUGUGAACGCAAAUCAUCAGCUCCCAUGUAGAACACAACGUACGAACCUUCAGUAACUGCAAUCAACAAGAGAGCCAUAUACAACGUUACAAUCAAAUCUCAAAUCAUAACCGAAAUCUCAUUCUUCUCCAAACGAUAAGUGCAACGGAACGAAGAAGAAGCAACAAACCUUUAACGAUCUGAGGUUUAUCGCGAACAUCGACGCAGUGAUACGAAGCGCGGCCGGAGGAGAGAGCGUCGACGAGGACCGAAUCGGACUCGUCGAGAUUGAGAGUCUGAGCGGAAUCAGCGACUCGGACCGUCCAGUUUCCGAGCCGGAGCAAUCUGGAGACGAGCGAUCGGCCAACGAAGCCUCGGCCGUUGAGGACGACGCAGGUGUUGAGUCGAGAAUCGCCACGAACGGCAUCGUCGUCCAUUGUUAACCGUAAGCUCUAUCGUACUAUCGCCUUUCUCUCGAUAUAUAUAACUCGCGAGUCAGCUCGGAGAGAAAGGACGAGUCGCGAGGUAGAUCAGUGGGUGCAAAUUGCAAAACGCAGAAAAAUAAAAAGCAGCUGAAUCGUAAUGUAACCUCUCCACUAGCUAAACCUUAUUAGCGUUUUCAUCUAUUAUUACGGUAUUGUAAAAUAAAUCGACCGUCUAACAA